rnacentral:tRNA from 1 species
GGGCCGUUAGCUCAACUGGCAGAGCACCUGACUCUUAAUCAGGGGGUUGCAGGUUCGACUCCUGCACGGCUCA